GCUAGUCUGUCAUCUAAAAAAUAGUUUAGUUCAGGACCUGGAAAUGCUGAAGUAAGUAUUUGACCCCAAUAGCUAACCAUAAACAACCUUGAUUAUUUAAUUUAGAGAAGUAUAUUCACAUAGAGCAUUUCAGGACACUUCUUUCAGAAGAUAGGAGAAUGAAAGCAUGGGAUGAAGACACUAGGCGUGGAAUAGUCACUUUAUGACUACAUGCAUCACAACUACUAUAAUAGUACCACUUUACAUGUUUCUAACAAGAAUUUUCAUGCCUUUCCAAAAAGCAUGUAAUUUUUGCCCAUUUUAUGCAGAGACAAAUUUGAAUACAUUUCUAAAACUCACAUAAAUUAGUGAUGGAGCUGAGUUCUACUUCUCAAUCCAACCUUCUAGACCCAAUCAAAGGUAUAAUUUCCCCCAAUUUUUGAAAGAACAUAAGAGAAAAAGGGAGGCUAAACGACUUUGGACUUCUUUAAGAUUAUACAUUAAGGCACUGGCUGAGUUCAGUAAGAUGAUCUGGUCCUUAAGUCCCCUGGAUUAUCAUUAACUCAUACCACAUCUAACACUGUUGCUAACCAACAGUGUUAUGGAGUGGAAAAUUUCAUGCCCUCAUGGAGGAGGGCAAAAGUAAUAGGUUUUUUGCCAGGGAAAUUUUCCCUUCAUUCCUCUCUAGACUGCACUCUGGACUUUUUGUGCCAUGCCUGAGAAACCUUUUCAUCUUGGAAGCUCAUUCCAGGCCUUGAAUUCACACGUUGUCAGAGGAAAUUAGCAGAACUGGAUACCAAUGGCUCAGACGAAGAAAGGAAGUUGGAUUCAAAAUCUUGAUGAGAAUCACAAUCCCUAUUUCAAUACAGAUGCUCAGAAGAAUCCCACUUAAAUUAAACAUCACAUUGGAUGAAAUGAGUCAAAGACAGAAGGCCAAAGACUGUUACAAUUGGGGAAAUUUCUCAAGGUUUGCAGAUGUGACCCCUGAAAUCAAUCCAUGAACUCCAAGUUAAGAAUCUCUGCUCCAGAAGAAAGAGUUGACUGACGCCCUCCGGAACACCUGCUCUUCCAAAGGCACAUAAAUUGUGCACCCACCACC